rnacentral:misc_RNA from 1 species
UAACAAGCCUUUACAAUUAAAAACUAUGAUUUUGCAUAAUGCUAUUCAACAAAAAGUACAACAGUUGUAUGGUGAUUUUGGAGUUGCAACGAUAAAAGCUGGUUUUAGCGCAAAGUAUUGCAAUAUACAUACAAAAAUUGCAUUAGUGAAAACCAGACAUGGCCCCCACAAAUUUUUACUAAAGGCUAUCCCAAUCAUAAAUGACAUAGCAGGACGUU